AUCCAUCUGACGAGUCCCAAGCAGAACGAAAUUCACGUCCUGGAU
rnacentral:hammerhead_ribozyme from 1 species